GAGUUUGAUCGUGGCUCAGAUUGAACGCUGGCGGCAUGCCUUACACAUGCAAGUCGAACGGCAGCACGGGAGCUUGCUCCUGGUGGCGAGUGGCGAACGGGUGAGUAGUGCAUCGGAACGUAUCCUGGAGUGGGGGAUAACGUAGCGAAAGUUACGCUAAUACCGCAUAUUCUGUGAGCAGGAAAGCGGGGGACCUUCGGGCCUCGCGCUCUUGGAGCGGCCGAUGUCGGAUUAGCUAGUUGGUGAGGUAAAGGCUCACCAAGGCGACGAUCCGUAGCAGGUCUGAGAGGAUGAUCUGCCACACUGGAACUGAGACACGGUCCAGACUCCUACGGGAGGCAGCAGUGGGAAUUUUGGACAAUGGGGGCAACCCUGAUCCAGCCAUGCCGCGUGAGUGAAGAAGGCCUCGGUUCGUAA
rnacentral:rRNA from 1 species